GUUAAUAUUUUCAGAGACGUUGAGCUUCGAGCCUGGAUGGUCUGAUAUCUUAAUCUGAAAUGUGCAUUCAUGUCGUGGCUUUUGAGUUGCAGCAUUGCAGCUACCGGGCGCUGCUACAGGCGCGGUACGAGUAUGCCGUGCGCUGUUUGCUAGUUUCGAUUUUCCGACUCUAGGGGGCGCUUAGUGAUGAUGAUUCACGAAUGGCAGAAACAUUGUUGCCUCGUCGGUGUGGUGCCGUCGCUUCUGCUGUGGUUUAACCGCAGACUACCAUGUUAUGUAAUUGGUAAAAUGGAAGAAAAAAGUUAAUCGUGAAAAUGAACGCCUUGCCACAGCGUGACUCCGCGUGCAGGCGAGAACUUGUGUCGGCAUUGGUGUAGACUGUAGCCUCGCUGUGCGACCGUGGGACUGCAUUGGUAAACGAAGCAAGAACGAGGAGUGGGGAAGUGUCGGCUGCUGCUGCUGCUGCUGUGAGUGCAGGGAGUCGAGGAGCCAGCACGAGACUAGAAGGUAUGGCUGACGAUCAAUACUGCUGCCAGCGCAUGAGACUGAGGCAGUGAUGCCGGCCUCCAUUUCUGUGCGACGAACCUCAUGUGAAAAUGAAACUGUGACGCCUCCAAGGUAGUUGGGGGCUUGGUGUGGAGUGUGACAGAGGAAUACCUACAGACAGCACGCAAUGUCCCACUCACAUAAAGACGAACUCUACGUGGGGCCGUACCGUCUUGAGAAGACGCUGGGAAAAGGCCAGACAGGGCUUGUAAAACUGGGAGUUCAUUGUGUCUCAGGGAAGAGAGUUGCAAUAAAAAUUGUGAACAGAGAGAAGCUCAGUGAAUCAGUUCUCAUGAAGGUGGAACGUGAAAUUGCCAUCAUGAAGCUCAUUGAACACCCACAUGUUCUUGGAUUGUACGAUGUCUAUGAAAACAAGAAAUACCUAUAUUUAAUCCUGGAGCAUGUAUCUGGUGGAGAGCUGUUUGACUACCUCGUCAAGAAAGGACGCCUUACACCCAAAGAGGCAAGGCGAUUCUUCCGUCAGAUUAUAUCUGCGCUAGACUUUUGCCACAGUCACAAUAUAUGCCAUCGAGAUCUGAAGCCAGAGAACCUUUUACUUGAUGACAAAAACAACAUUCGUGUGGCAGACUUUGGCAUGGCAUCUUUACAAGUUGAAGGAUCUAUGUUGGAAACAAGUUGUGGGUCACCCCAUUAUGCAUGUCCAGAGGUGAUACGGGGGGAAAAGUAUGAUGGAAGGAAGGCUGAUGUUUGGAGUUGUGGUGUCAUUUUGUACGCAUUAUUAGUUGGCGCUCUACCAUUUGAUGAUGACAAUUUGCGGCAGCUUUUAGAAAAAGUAAAGAAAGGUGUAUUUCACAUUCCACAUUUUGUACCACCAGACUGCCAAAAUUUGUUGAGAGGCAUGAUAGAAGUUGAUCCAGAGAAGAGGAUGACAUUAGAGGAGGUUAUGCGCCACCCAUGGGUUAUAGCGGAUAUCCUGGGUCAGAUAGAGUUAGAGUUGCCUAUCACACAAAUAGUCCAGACAUCUGUGAUACCUAGCGUGGAAGACUUGGAUCCCGAUGUUCUGUCCACACUCAAUUCCUUACAGUGUUUCAAAGACAAAGAGAAGUUAAUCUCUGAACUUCUCAAUACCAAACACAACACAGAGAAGGUGGUGUAUUUUUUGUUAUUGGACCGCAAACUCAGGAACCCAAGUGUAGAGGAUGAGACAGAGAUAAGACACAGAUCAGAAUCAGGUGACAGAGCUGAUCCACCAAGGAAAAGAGUCGAUUCAGUACAGUUCAAUGGACAAGCAAGGCUUUCUUUGGGUAACAUCAGUGAGGGAUCACCAGUAGCUUCCAGAAGAGCUUUAGCUGUGCAGCAAGUUCGGCGGAAGGCCAGCCUGAGCAACAGUCCAAGCUCCUCACCUGUUUCCAGCCCAAAACUGUCACACCGUGGGGGCAGUAGCAGUGCCCCAUCUCAUAGCCCAUCAGCCACACCACCCAGUUCCCCAGGGCUGAUGACCAGUACACCCUGGAAGUCACGUCUCCAUACGAUCAAGAACAGCUUCCUUGGCUCUCCACGCUUCCAUCGUCGAAAGAUGCAAGGUAUACCUUAUCCCAAUGCUGCCUGCGCUGGGGAGUGCGACUGUGAUCUGGACUCUUUGGCAGGUGACUUCACUGGCUGGCACCCUUACUUUCAAGUCCCUACCACUGACGAGAUCCAUAUGACCCCAGAUUCUUCUCCAGAGAUGGCCAAGCGCUCAUGGUUUGGGGGGCUUAUGGGCAUGGAGCAGGAGCAUCAUUUUGUGAUGGUACGGGAUAAAACAUUCAACCAGGUCAAAGCUGAUCUUGUUCAUGCAUUCCUUUCUACUCCAGAUCUAAGUCACAGUGUUGUGUCCACCUCCACUUUCCGUGCUGAAUAUCGUCGUGGGGGUGGCUCUUCAAUGUUCUCCAGGAAUGUUCGCUUCCAGGUGGACAUUUCAGCUGCUCCUGGGGAGCGUGACCCAGCAUCUACAUUCUGUCUUACAUUCACUUUAGUUUCAGGGCCAUCACGACGGUUUCGGCGUGUGUGUGAACACAUCCAGACCUUGAUGGCAGCUCCUCGUGGGGAGAACAAUCGUAAGAUAAGCACUGAUAGUACAGUGUCCUACUGCUCAGAGCUGGUGCCCGCUUCCUACUGCUCUCCAGCCAAAGAAAAUGGGGAUGCAGAGAGUCAUGAAAGGGAGAAAAAGCCACCAUUGCCACCUAGAAACAGAGAUUCAUCAAAGAGCGGACCUCGCAAAGCUCUCAGUGAAAACACUCAAAGGGAUAAAGUCUAGUGAAUUGUAAAUAUGUAUAUAAAAGUGAAAACAUUCUUGCUACCAUGAACCAUAAACUCCUUUGCAAGAAUGAUUAAAGAACCUGCAUAAUUAAUGCAUGAGAAGAGAAACUGUUAAAAGCUGAUUGGAUGAACAAUUACUCGCAUCAUUUGGUAUGGAAAGAACACAGGAGCAUGAUUAUGAAAGGUUAUUCUUCCAAGUAUACAGAAAUAUUUCGUGGCCCAGCCUUAUUGAUGCAUGUAAUUGAAAAUGCCAUUAGAAGCAGAUAACCCAUAUAGCCUUUUAUGACUGAAUGGAAGGUGAAUGUUUGUAACAUCUUUGUUCAAAACUAAAUGUGCACAUAACAUCCACUUGAAAAUAGGGUUUUGUUAUCAAAUAUUUAGCUGUCAGAAUAAUCCCAUCUAGCAUCCCUCUAGUGUUAUUUAUUCAACUGUCAGACUCUUCCUGGAAACCUUUUUUUAUGCCUGUUAGUAUUUUAUUAACAAUAUUGUCAGUAGACUGCAUGCAAGUUGCUGAAGUAUGGUUAUUAUUAACAGAUCAUCUUUUUGACUGUAGUAAAGGUACAGCCAGUUACUAGAGUAGUUCCAGAGGAAUGGUAGUGGCAGAGUUUGGUAAAAUAGCUUCACCACUCAAAUUUCUGUUUUAUUCUUAUCAAAUCAGUUGUUUCUAACACAGGUAGGCUUUUCAAAAUAUUUUUCUUACAGAAGUUUACAAAUUUAAAGAAUGGCAAAGAUUUAAAAAGUGCUUAGUUUCCUUUUACUUAGCAUUGUGGGGAAAAUGUUUAAUGUAUGUGAUGUUGAAUAAUCAUUUAGUGGAUUUAAUAUUUAUGCACCUAAAAGUAUAGCUGUGUGUUUGUGUGUGUGUGAGAUCCUAUCCUUCAAUUUUAUGUCUUAUUUUUUUACCUUAUGGAACGACCUUUAGAUCAAGAGUGAAAUUUAAAAUGUAUUAGUAUUUUGUUUUGUAUCUUACUUAAAAUAGCAUGCACCAUGCAUGAUAACAUGUAAAAUAUUCUUUGAACUCAUUUUCGCUCCUGAGUAAAAGCAGUGGUGUAUUUAUGAUACCAAUCUCCAUAAAGAGUAUGCAAAUUUUCCAUUUGAUUGUCUUGUCUCUAAACUGUUUGUAAAGUUAGUACUGCUUACUUCACAGUAGGAUGCUUAAUUUUUGGUGGGGUUGUGAUUGUACUGAACAGCAGGCUUGUUGAAAGACAUUGGCUUUUUUGAAUGCCAGGCUUGAGUGAAUGGUAGUGUUUUAACUGUUACUCUAAAAUGGACAGAGCAUCUGUUCAGAAGUUAAAUUUUAUUCCUUUUCUUACAAAAAGGUGUCAAAGAGUGCACAUGAGUUUUCCAUUAAAGUAAUGAUGUGAGCAUUAUAUUCAGUCAGAAAGGGGACUGCGAUUUCUUACAUUACAAAAGCCCUUUGUCUUUUAAUAUCAGGUGGUAUGUACAGUUGACAGUAAUGAUUUCCAUUAUAAAAAAACGGCUCUCACAUCAUGACAGAACCAUUUUGCUGAUAGAUGUUGUUUUACAGUUACUGUUUAGCUUUCCCUGCGUAAGAUAUGUCUAAAUAGGGCUUUUACCCCGACUCCCAUCUGGCACAAUGAGAGGAUAAGUAGACCAUCUUACCAUGUCAUUGCAGGAGAAGUAAGUGAUCUCAAAAUAGAACAUUUUGUUAUGGACUUUAUACUUUAAGAGGAACAUAAAAGUCUGGAUUGUAUUUGAAAUUCUGGUAGUCCCCUACUUUUUCACAAAUCCUAAUUUAUUUAAAUAACGGUUACAUUUUAUUUAUUUUUUACUUGAAAAGGGAAAGCGCUUAAGGUUUAAGUGGGCAAAGGUGUGUCCCACUUGUUAAGUGAGUUUGUUCGUGUAUUGACAAAUCAUCAUCCUAACACAAAAACUUCUUGUAAACUGGAUACACUUGUUCUACUUCCUUCUGUACCUUGAAACACAUCCCGUUCUGUGAUCUUAACUGAGGAGAAACAUUUAACAUAUACACCUUUUUGUCCAAUAUUCAGAGUGUAACACCCCUCCAAUGUACGGCAAGUUGUAAGUAGAGCAAGCUAGCUUGUUCACGCAGAAUUAUCUGCCCUCCUACCAAAAACAAUUGUACAAAGGUGUGCUGUGUCUUAAUGCUUGAAGCAGUCAUUGAUAUAAUAGGAUUUAGUGCCAAGCAGCAGUUCCAUUGUUCAUUCUUCCUCUUCCCAUUACAGUGAGACACUAGAUGCACUCAUAGGAUUUCAAAGUACACUUGAUCAGAGAAGAAGUUUGUAGUUGUAUGUAAUUAUAAUACAGUUGUAUCGUUAACUGAACUGCAGCAUACUUUUGUGGGCAGCAAGGUGUAAAACCUAGAACAAACUGCAGCUGUACAGUUUGAUGAUACCCCAAAACGGAGUGGCAUUUUGAUUUUUCAAGUAGUAUCAUAAAUUAACUGCCUUUAUACAAAUUCAUUUUGUGAAACUGUGAUUCAGAAUGUCUAUUAUGGGUUAUACUGAUUGUAAUUUGGUUAAGUCCAGGUUAUAUAAAAAGCAGACACAAAAUAACAUUUUAUCUUUUAAGAUUUUUGAAAAAAAAAUACUUUUUAGCCUUUUAUUUCAUGGUUUUUUUCAUAUGAAAAUUGUGGGUAUUUUUUUAUUCUCCAUGUUCAUUUGACAAAAGUCGUUAGAAAAAAAAAGCAGCUGUAAUGAAUACACUGUUUUGGUAUCUUCAGCACACUUGUACUAUCAUUCCUAAUUUAGAGUGCACACAGUGUCAAGAGUUACAUUAAGGACACAAAAAAGCAUGUAUAAACAAAACUAAAGAAAAGAAAAUUCCUCAACCAAGGGAUAAGACCACAUUUAUGCAUUUAGAACCCGUUUUGAAGUGCAACUAGGUCUGCUAUCCAUCAGUAAAAGCUGUUGCAUAAGUUAUUCUUUUAUGUUUAAAAUUAGGGAAGCUUGAAUUUGGGUGGGGAGAAGAGUGUAUUUAACAGUUUUUCCACCUGCAUGGCACCAAAUUCUGCGUGUUAUUAUAUGUUAUGCUUGAUAUUAUUUUGCAGCUUGUAAUUGGUGUUCUGUAGACCUUCCAUUAGUGUGCUACUUAUAGACUGUUUCUGUGGGUGUGUGCAGUGUUGCAGAAGUUAUUUAUUUAUGCAGUGCUUUUUUUUUUUUUUUUUUUGUAAAUUGCCAUAUUCCAGAAGAGCAUGUUUCAGGGACAGUAAGCAGCAUCUUUCCACAUUACAUUUAUUGCUCUUAUGGGACCAGAAGACAGAUCAUCAGAGGAAUAAUGAAAUCAUUUGUGUUUGUUUCUCAUCUUUUGUGUUACAUGGUACAGAAUUUGAGCAUGUUAAAAACAAUGGCACUGAAUGGGUGACCAUCAUCCACAAUUUUGAUAUUACAUACAAGGUGUACUGUCUAGAAGGCAACACUAAGCUCACUAAACAGUGUGCAGCUGCUUUUAAACCUUAUCUCUGGAACCAGCAUGUGAUUGUGACAACCAGCAGCUGGAAUCACUUAGUUUUAGGCCCAUGAUGAAACAACAAAAAUGAAAAUAGAAAAGAACCAAAACCUUUUCUUGUCAUUUGUCAUUAGGAUUGUUUGUAUUCCUGAGUUUGCAACUGCAUUGCCCAGUCAGACAUGGAAGUAGAAGUGAGUUGACCUAGUGCUAGUUGUGAAUAAACUUUGUGACAUGGAAACUUUGGAAAAGACAUGUUGUCAUGCACUGUCAUCCUAUGCUCAGUUCAAGGGUUACUUUAGUGAAAGUUCAUCAGAAAGUAAUCGAAUGUUACUUCCAAACAUUUUCUGAGAACAUGUACCAUUUAAUUAAAAAAAAAAAAAUUCUUGAACAAUCUAGCUGAGCUUUAAAGAUACCCCAUAGCUAUCUACUUAUGGUUGGAUAUGGAGAGGCAACAGCAUUCUUAGGAUCUGGGUCCUACAGAACAAAAAAGUUUUACUCAUUUUUGAGGUCAGAUGAUAUCACAGAGACUUUGUUUUGACUGCUAGUCCAUAGCUUCACACACACACAAUGGGUGUUGCCUGCUGUUUGCUGUGAAAAUGGGGCAAUAGCUAUGUAAUACAAAAGAAAGACAUGCCAAAUUCAUGAGUACAAAUUGUUUGAUUGCAAAUUGUUUAAGGAGUAGACUGUUUUUACACUCAAAAGCUUUAUUUCUCACUCCUUAUUGAUUCUAAUGUUGGACAUGUAACUAAUGAUAAACAUGAGGGGGCUUAAUGCCAUGCAUUAGUGAAAUAUCAGAGGUAUUAACAGAAUGGUUAUGAUCACAGGCAAGCUUAUUGGUAGAAUAAAUGUACUAUUGAAACUAGUGUUGCAAGUAUACAUGUCUGUGCCAGAAUCAUGUAACUAUAUUUAACAUGGGCAUUUGGCUGGACAGAUUUUACCCUGGAUUGUCUGUUUUGCACUGCUCAGUAUGAAUAAUGUAUGAAGACAAAAUCUGUUUGCAUCUGUAGGAAUGUUCUGAAUUGGAAAGAAAAGGUAAUUUGUCUUUUUUCAUGUCCUAAAAUGUAACAUGUCAGCAUACAGUCAUCUUAUUUGGAAAAUUAGUUGCAAUUAAAAGUGAUUGACCUGAA
rnacentral:misc_RNA from 1 species